GACGAACGCUGGCGGCGUGGAUUAGGCAUGCAAGUCGGACGGUAGGGCUUUAUCGUAAGAUAGAGUUUGAGAGUGGCGAACGGGUGAGUAACACGUAGGAAUCUACCCUUAAGACGGGGACAACCCAGGGAAACUUGGGCUAAUACCGGAUGAGAGUGCGAGAGAUUGCAUUUAAAAGGAUGGCGAAAGUUGUCGCUUAGGGAUGAGCCUGCGGUCUAUUAGUUAGUUGGUGAGGUAAGAGCUCACCAAGGCGAUGAUAGAUAGGCGGCCUUAACGGGUGGUCGCCCACACUGGGAUUGAGAUACGGCCCAGACUCCUACGGGAGGCAGCAGUCGAGAAUAGUCUACAAUGGCCGGAAGGCUGAUAGUGCGACGCCGCGUGAACGAGGGAGCCCUUCGGGGUGUAAAGUUCUUUUCUAUACGAGCAGUGCUAUAUAUAUGGGUAGUAUAUAUAGAGGGAUAGUAGUAUAGGAAUAAGCAACGGCUAACUCCGUG
rnacentral:rRNA from 1 species